GAGGUGCUCUGGGCGCGGCUGCCGGCCCUGUAUUCUGACUGCUGAAAGCGUGAGCAGAAGUUCUGCUUUACAGGUUGAUUUUUCCAGGCUUGCUGAGGUCGGAGUUCACGGGGGAUCAGUUGGUGUUUUACCACAGAAUCACAGAAUCAGUUACGCUGGAAAAGUCCUCUGAAAUCAUGGACUCCAACCUCUGACUGAACACCACGUUGUCAGGUAGACCAUGGCACUAAGUGCCAUAUCCAGUCUUCCUUUAAACACCUCCAGGGAUGGUGACCACCACCUCCCUGAGCAGCCUGUUCCAAUGCUUGGCAACCUCUUCUGUGAAGACAGUCCUCCUAAUGUCCAACCUGAAUCUCCCCCGGUGCAGCUUAAGACUUUAAGUCCUUUAAUCCUGUCGCUCGUUGCCUGGGAGAAGAGGCCGAUCCCCGCCUGGCUACAAGCUCCUUUCAGGAGAUUUCCUUGGGGCUGGACUGGAAUAUGUCUCCUGGGAAAAUACCUCGUAUUUCCUGGAAGACUCCAGGCAAUGGUGACUCUACCACCUCCUCAGGUUCCUAAUUGAAUGAAUCAGCAAUGCAACCACAGAACAAAGCUCAUGAACUGCUGAGCCCAGUGCAGGGCAUGACUCAAUCCAGUGCACAGUGGAUAAAUACACCUUUAAAAAUAUCCAGCUAUCUUUUUCAGGCUGUUGGACUAAUCACAAGAGAAUCUAUGGAUUGAAUAGUGAAAGGGUAAAAACUGCUCUCAAAGCACCCAGUAGGACUGAGCUCUCAGUAGUGUGAGCAUAUAUGCCAGAUGAGAAGAGAGAGCUUCAGCUCCUCUGUGGUCU
rnacentral:lncRNA from 13 species